rnacentral:rRNA from 1 species
GACGAACGCUGGCGGCGUGCUUAACACAUGCAAGUCGAGCGAUGAAGCACUUUCGGGUGUGGAUUAGCGGCGAACGGGUGAGGAACACGUGAGGAAUCUGCCUUCCACUCUGGGAUAACUCCGGGAAACCGGGGCUAAUACCGGAUACUUUCAACUGGCGGCAUCGCUGGUUGAAGAAAGUUUUUCGGUGGAAGAUGACAUCGCGGCCUAUCAGCUUGUUGGUGAGGUAAUGGCUCACCAAGGCGACGACGGGUAGCCGGCCUGAGAGGGCGACCGGCCACACUGGGACUGAGACACGGCCCAGACUCCUACGGGAGGCAGCAGUGGGGAAUAUUGGGCAAUGGAGGAAACUCCGACCCAGCGACGCCGCGUGAGGGAUGAAGGCCUUCGGGUUGUAAACCUCUUUCAGCAGGGAAUAAGCGAAAGUGAAGGUACCUGCAGAAGAAGCACCGGCUAACUAUGUGCCAGCCGCCGCAGUAA